rnacentral:rRNA from 1 species
GUGAGGAAUAUUGCGCAAUGGAGGCAACUCUGACGCAGCCAUGCCGCGUGCAGGAAGAAGGCGCUACGCGUUGUAAACUGCUUUUAACCGGGAAGAAACCCCAGGACGUGUCCUGGGUUGACGGUACCGGAGGAAUAAGCACCGGCUAACUUCGUGCCAGCAGCCGCGGUAAUACGAAGGGUGCAAGCGUUAUCCGGAUUCAUUGGGUUUAAAGGGUGCGUAGGCGGAGCGUUAAGUCAGUGGUGAAAUCCUGCAGCGUAACUGUAGACUUGCCAUUGAUACUGGCGCUCUUGAGUGCGCUUGAAGUGGGCGGAAUGUGCCGUGUAGCGGUGAAAUGCUUAGAUAUGGCACAGAACACCAAUUGCGAAGGCAGCUCACUAAGGCGAUACUGACGCUGAGGCACGAAAGCGUGGGGAUCGAACAGGAUUAGAAACCCCUGUAGUCC